rnacentral:rRNA from 2 species
UGGUAUUGAUUGGUGCUUGCAUCAUGAUUUACAUUUGAGUGAGUGGCGAACUGGUGAGUAACACGUGGGAAACCUGCCCAGAAGCGGGGGAUAACACCUGGAAACAGAUGCUAAUACCGCAUAACAACUUGGACCGCAUGGUCCGAGUUUGAAAGAUGGCUUCGGCUAUCACUUUUGGAUGGUCCCGCGGCGUAUUAGCUAGAUGGUGGGGUAACGGCUCACCAUGGCAAUGAUACGUAGCCGACCUGAGAGGGUAAUCGGCCACAUUGGGACUGAGACACGGCCCAAACUCCUACGGGAGGCAGCAGUAGGGAAUCUUCCACAAUGGACGAAAGUCUGAUGGAGCAACGCCGCGUGAGUGAAGAAGGGUUUCGGCUCGUAAAACUCUGUUGUUAAAGAAGAACAUAUCUGAGAGUAACUGUUCAGGUAUUGACGGUAUUUAACCAGAAAGCCACGGCUAACUACGUGCCAGCAGCCGCGGUAAUACGUAGGUGGCAAGCGUUGUCCGGAUUUAUUGGGCGUAAAGCGAGCGCAGGCGGUUUUUUAAGUCUGAUGUGAAAGCCUUCGGCUCAACCGAAGAAGUGCAUCGGAAACUGGGAAACUUGAGUGCAGAAGAGGACAGUGGAACUCCAUGUGUAGCGGUGAAAUGCGUAGAUAUAUGGAAGAACACCAGUGGCGAAGGCGGCUGUCUGGUCUGUAACUGACGCUGAGGCUCGAAAGUAUGGGUAGCAAACAGGAUUAGAUACCCUGGUAGUCCAUACCGUAAACGAUGAAUGCUAAGUGUUGGAGGGUUUCCGCCCUUCAGUGCUGCAGCUAACGCAUUAAGCAUUCCGCCUGGGGAGUACGGCCGCAAGGCUGAAACUCAAAGGAAUUGACGGGGGCCCGCACAAGCGGUGGAGCAUGUGGUUUAAUUCGAAGCUACGCGAAGAACCUUACCAGGUCUUGACAUACUAUGCAAAUCUAAGAGAUUAGACGUUCCCUUCGGGGACAUGGAUACAGGUGGUGCAUGGUUGUCGUCAGCUCGUGUCGUGAGAUGUUGGGUUAAGUCCCGCAACGAGCGCAACCCUUAUUAUCAGUUGCCAGCAUUAAGUUGGGCACUCUGGUGAGACUGCCGGUGACAAACCGGAGGAAGGUGGGGAUGACGUCAAAUCAUCAUGCCCCUUAUGACCUGGGCUACACACGUGCUACAAUGGAUGGUACAACGAGUUGCGAACUCGCGAGAGUAAGCUAAUCUCUUAAAGCCAUUCUCAGUUCGGAUUGUAGGCUGCAACUCGCCUACAUGAAGUCGGAAUCGCUAGUAAUCGCGGAUCAGCAUGCCGCGGUGAAUACGUUCCCGGGCCUUGUACACACCGCCCGUCACACCAUGAGAGU